UAGGGAAUCUUCCGCAAUGGACGCAAGUCUGACGGAGCAACGCCGCGUGAGUGAAGAAGGAUUUCGGUUCGUAAAACUCUGUUGUUAGAGAAGAACAGCGCAUAGAGUAACUGUUAUGCGUGUGACGGUAUCUAACCAGAAAGCCACGGCUAACUACGUGCCAGCAGCCGCGGUAAUACGUAGGUGGCAAGCGUUGUCCGGAUUUAUUGGGCGUAAAGCGAGCGCAGGCGGUCAAUUAAGUCUGAUGUGAAAGCCCCCGGCUCAACCGGGGGGGGUCAUUGGAAACUGGUUGACUUGAGUGCAGAAGAGGGGAGUGGAAUUCCAUGUGUAGCGGUGAAAUGCGUAGAUAUAUGGAGGAACACCAGUGGCGAAGGCGACUCUCUGGUCUGUAACUGACGCUGAAGUUCGAAAGCGUGGGUAGCAAACAGG
rnacentral:rRNA from 1 species